CACACGGUGGUGUAGCGGUUAGCACGUUCUCCUCGCACCUCCAGGGUCCGGGGUUCGAUUCCCAUCAGGGAGU